UUUGGGAUUCCCGGGGUGGGGGUGCCCUAUCCAAGGAGGGAUCCGCUGAGCCUCAGGCGCCAGCUGUGGAGGCGUUAGCUGCUGUCCAGUCUGUAGCCGACGCGCGGAUCCAACAAGAGCCAGUGGCUGCGCAUCGGCUGCUGCAGGUGGUAGGAGUAGAAUUGUCUCCUGUGGCAACCUUGGAAACUUGAUAUUGAAGAAGAGAGCACAAAAUGGAAAGAAAUCUGUCCCUGACACUGCAUGGAGAAAAGCUACCUGACCAGAAAUAUACAGAUUGGACUGUUUUCUGAGCAAUAAAUAAACUAUUAUUGUGUUAAGCACUGAAUGUUGGGGUUAGUUUGUUAAAUCAAUCAGGUGUCACUCUAGUGUACACAGAAAAAUAGUUCUUUUUUCAAAUAUUUGACAAAUUUCUUUCCUGUGAA
rnacentral:lncRNA from 1 species